AGUGAGGCUUGCUGCCCUUGUCUUGGUGUGAGGCUCUGUGCUCCAGGAAUAAGCAUGAAUAUCGCAGUCUGGCCUGAAUUCUUCCCUGGAGGAAAGAGACAGAUGAUAUCAUUGUUGGAGUUGUUUGGACAUCAUAAAGUUUCGCUGUACAUAACUACACCUUCCAAAUCGAUGUCAUGUAUAAGGCCGGGAAUGCUGUUCAGUGUCUGCAGAGACAGCAGAAAGCUUGAAGGAAUUACUGCUUGGCAGGCAGGACGAUAAAGCCGGAGCCUGGAUGGGGUUGCCCAUGUCACAGUGCAUCAUAGCUCCUGGGAAACUCUUCAAAGUGAAAAAAAGAUGCUGAAAAUGCUGAUCCAGUUAUUUCCUGCAUUAUUUGCUUCGC